rnacentral:tRNA from 1 species
GCCCCAGUAGCUCAAAGGAUAGAGCGUCGGACUUCUAAUCCGCAGGUUGGGGGUUCGAGUCCCUCCUGGGGUA